GACGAACGCUGGCGGCGUGCUUAACACAUGCAAGUCGAACGGAAAGGCCCUGCUUUUGUGGGGUGCUCGAGUGGCGAACGGGUGUGAAACACGUGAGUAACCUGCCCUUGACUUUGGGAUAACUUCAGGAAAAUGGGGAUAAUACCGGAUAGGAGCUCUUGAUGCAUGGUGGGGGUUGGAAAGUUUCGGCGGUUGGGGAUGGACUCGAGGCUUAUCAGCUUGUUGGUGGGGUUGGGGCUUACCAAGGCUUUGACGGGUAGGCGGCCUGGGAGGGUGGCCGGCCUCAUUGGGACUGCGGUACGGCCCAGUCUCCUACGGGAGGCAGCAGUGGAGAAUAUUGCACAAUGGGCGGACGCCUGAUGCAGCAACGCCGCGUGCGGGAUGACGUCCUUCUGGUUGUAAACCGCUUUCGCCUGUGACGAAGCGUGAGUGACGGUAAUGGGUAAAGAAGCACCGGCUAACUACGUG
rnacentral:rRNA from 1 species